CCGUAACCUUCCUAACAGCUGUGACACUGUUUAGCUUGAAAAUUGCCCAAGAAGAGGCUGCACUGUCUGAGAACCUGCAAAUUAAAUGUAAAUUAUUUAUCCACAUACUUAUUUCAGUCCUCUCAUUUCCUUGACCUUGAUUCAGCCCAUGGAGGGUCCUGGCCCAGAGUGGGAAUGCGGGAUUCUGCACUAUAGCACGUUGAGUGCCUGACCCUGGCAUGUGCCCAGAGCAGACUCUGUUGGUUAGCCUGCUGA
rnacentral:lncRNA from 1 species